rnacentral:SRP_RNA from 1 species
CUGCGUAAUGGGCACCUAUGAAUCGUGUCAGGGCAGGAAUGCAGCAGCACUAAGUAGGCCCGCUCAUCUGACGCGGGGUUGCCU